UACGUAGGGGGCAAGCGUUGUUCGGAAUUACUGGGCGUAAAGCGUGCGCAGGCGGUGAUGUAAGACAGGUGUGAAAUCCCCGGGCUUAACCUGGGAACUGCAUUUGUGACUGCAUCGCUGGAGUGCGGCAGAGGGGGAUGGAAUUCCGCGUGUAGCAGUGAAAUGCGUAGAUAUGCGGAGGAACACCGAUGGCGAAGGCAAUCCCCUGGGCCUGCACUGACGCUCAUGCACGAAAGCGUGGGGAGCAAACAGG
rnacentral:rRNA from 1 species